UUUCGAGAAGGAAGGCUAUGAGGGAAACCACUAUUUUCGUUUGCGUGUGUUUAGGGAUGGAGCCAUUCAGUCCUAGUAGAGUUGGUACGUCGAACGGGAUGUUGAGGGGGAUGAGUUUCCUUUCGAGUUUGUCCCUCGCUUCAGAAUAUUCUUGGCAGUAGAGGAGUAUAUGUGUCGCGUCUUCUUGUUCUGGGCACCCGUGAGGACAUUCAUCUGGUAUUUCGGGGUCCAAUCUGCUCAUGAAGUGGUUUAGUUUAUUGUGCCCGCUGCGUAACCGAAGCAUUGCUGUUUGGAUAUUUCGUUUCUUGUUAAUGUGCCAAGGUCCUUUUUUGUUUUUUUCGGAUUUCGGUGGCCAGUUGGUCAGCAAUUUCGUUUCCUGGUAUCCCAGCAUGUGAAGGUACAGCUGGACUUGCUUCCCAUUUGAAAUUUGAAAUUGCUUGAACAGCUGAUUUGGAAUCAGUGUAGGGAGUCGAGUAAAAAAGAAAAAGGUGUAUGACUCUGAAUUGGAGCAGCCCCUCAAAAAAAAAGAGAAAAAAGCAACUAAGGUCGCAGAUCUG